rnacentral:rRNA from 1 species
GUGCCCAGAUGGGAUUAGCUAGUAGGUGGGGUAACGGCUCACCUAGGCGACGAUCCCUAGCUGGUCUGAGAGGAUGACCAGCCACACUGGAACUGAGACACGGCCAGACUCCUACGGGAGGCAGCAUGU